UACAGAGGGUGCAAGCGUUAAUCGGAAUUACUGGGCGUAAAGCGUGCGCAGGCGGUUUUGUAAGACAGAUGUGAAAUCCCCGGGCUUAACCUGGGAAUUGCAUUUGUGACUGCAAGGCUGGAGUGCGGCAGAGGGGAAUGGAAUUCCGCGUGUAGCAGUGAAAUGCGUAGAUAUGCGGAGGAACACCGAUGGCGAAGGCAAUCCCCUGGGCCUGCACUGACGCUCAUGCACGAAAGCGUGGGGAGCAAACAGG
rnacentral:rRNA from 1 species